GUGACCCACAUCCUGUGAAAGGAGUCGGACAGAGAGAGACUGAGGGCAUACUGUCAUGUGAAUGAGGUUGGUGGGAUGGAUGCUGGUGUCUACCAGAGCACCUUGCUGGAAUUGAGAAUGGCCUCAUUGACAGAGAGUGAUAUUUUGGAUGAGGAUGUGCGCAGGAUGUCAAGCAGUUUAUGUUGAUCUUUCACUUCCUUCCGCCAAAGGAAUCUGGAGAGAGUCUGCAAUCCAGCAAAACAAAGCCUGGAAGUGUUUGAAGUCAUUGGCUACAGUAGAGAGAUGUGUGAUCUUUUCUUCCCAUGAUGAGGCUAAGUGGAGUGAUACUAUGGCGUCCAAUGUGGCAAGGGCAAAUUGCUUGAAAAAGGGAAGAACAAGAGGCAGAUUGACAUAUGAUAAACCUCCCACUAUGUGUGGGGUUAAAAAUACUGUUUUAAAAGUCUCUUAUGACCUUUCAUGUGUUAAUGGAUAUUGGUCUUUAUUACUAAAGAACACACAUGAUUAUGGUACUUCACAAACUCAUAGAAAUGUCUGGAAGGGACCUUGAGAAGUCAUCAAGUCCAUCCCCAUGUGUCAGGAACUCAGCUGGCUCUGGGCAUGGUUGUGUGGCAACCAAAUGAGCUUGGCUGGGCCAAACAAACCCCCUUAAGUGACUGUGCUCCCUGACAGGACAGAGGGGCCAAGAGAUCAGAUCAUCCUUUAAGCCUUUCAGCAACAGCAGCACAGUGACUGCUCAGUGUGUUCCAUCUCACAGCUGCACCAGACCUGCUUCCUGUACCAGCCGUUGCUCAACUGAUGCCUGCCUCCACUACAGCCUUAGUCCCUUCCUUCUUCAGAACUCCUGUCUCUGACCACUGGCUUGUCUACUGACCAUGAAUCCAGCUCUGCCCUUUGGUUCUGUUCUGACUUCCAACUCUGACCAUUAUCUUGUCCUCUGAUUUUGCCCCAGCCAUUAGGCCAGAUUCCUGUUCUGACCACUAAUUCACACCACCUACGCUCUGGUCUGACACCCUGCUCUGAGGCAGGACCAAGUAAACUUAGACCAUUCUUGACACGUGUUUGUCCAAGCUGUUCUUAAAACCUCCA